rnacentral:rRNA from 1 species
UACAGAGGGGGGCAAGCGUUAUUCGGAAUUAUUGGGCGUAAAGGGCUCGUAGGCGGUCCAUCACGUCGGGAGUGAAAAGCUGGGGCUUAACCCCAGUCCUGCUUCCGAUACGGGUGGACUAGAGGUAGGCAGGGGGAGAACGGAAUUCCUGGUGUAGCGGUGAAAUGCGCAGAUAUCAGGAGGAACACCGGUGGCGAAGGCGGGUUCUCUGGGCCUUACCUGACGCUGAGGAGCGAAAGCGUGGGGAGCAAACAGG